AACACACUAAAAACCCCACCGCUCCCCAUUCAGGCCGUACAAAGAGAGAGAAAGAGUAUGCGGCGACGGAGGGAGAGAGAGAGCGCGACGGAGGUAGAGUAAGCUAGAGAGAGGCACGGCGGUGAUGGAGGAACCGGUUACGGUUCCGGCCGACGGUAAUGUUGUCGAUCGUUGCUGAAAGCAAACUUGACGGCCGGGGGUUCUAGGGUUUGCGGCGACGGAGGGAGAGAGAGAGCGCGACGGAGGUAGAGUAAGCUAGAGAGAGGCACGGCGGUGAUGGAGGAACCGGUUACGGUUCCGGCCGACGGUAAUGUUGUCGAUCGUUGCUGAAAGCAAACUUGACGGCCGGGGGUUCUAGGGUUUGUGACGGUAUGAUCGGUAGUCUUUGGUGGCGGCGAACGUGGUCUGUGACAGAGAGCAACGAGGUAUGUUAGAUCGGAUGCUGCGCCAACUCUUACAAUGACGACGGUCAAGCGGUUAGGGUUUCGACCAACUUCCGGUAACAUCCGGUUAGCUUCCGACGAGGAUUCGGUGAACGGGCAGGCGAAGAUUCCGGUGAACAGUGAUUUUAUGUGAUGUAUAGAGGGGCAAUCGAUUCCAACCGAGCUUCGAAACGAGGAUGCUGCUCUUUGUUAAGCGACUGACCUUGAAGAUGAACGCACUGCAGAAGGGGGAAAGAAACCCCAAAUCGCUGCUGACCUGCUGUUGUUGUUCGAGUCCGAGGGCAGGGGUCUUGAACUUGCUCGAUUUCUUCACGAAUCACGGCUCAUCCUCAGGUUGAAAUUGGGGGUGAAUUUUAGCCCUAAACUUGUUGAAAUUGUCAAUCGUCGACGGAUUCUUCUUGAAUCUUCAUAAGAUUAUGCUAUGGGAUUGACCGGCUGCUGCUGUGCCUGCUCUUGUUCGACUGCAAGCUGCUGCGCUACUUGUUGUGGUCUUGUUUGACUUCUUCAAUCUUCAUAAGGUUAAAGGUGGUCUCAGAUGUCACACCAUUUGCCUGGAAGGAUGGAUACCGAGAUAAAGAACCAUUGGCAUUCAUAUCUGAAGAAGUAAGCACACAACUUGGAUAACAAGAAAUCUCAAGACACAAAAUAAACAAACACCAUGUACAAGAACAGUCUCAAGUCUUGAAUCUUCAGAAUCAGUUUGCUUACAUGUCGGAAUAAAAAGACCCGCCGCAAAGUGAUUACACAGUUUUAAAGCGCGUCACGUGUUUACUUGGUAAUUAGUUUUAGGUAAUUUAGUUGUUAAAUUUGUUGACGUGUUAGAUUCCUUUGCGUUUGGAAUUUGUAACGAGGGCUCAUUGGGAUUUUAUUACACUUAAAGAGAAGUUUGCGAGUUCUGAUGAAUUU
rnacentral:lncRNA from 1 species